rnacentral:rRNA from 1 species
CACCGCCCGUCACACCAUGGGAGUUUGUUGCACCAGAAGCAGGUAGCUUAACCGCAAGGGGAGCGCUUGCCCACGGUGUGGCCGAUGACUGGGGGUG